GGGGGGCGGGGGGCAAAGGAGAGGGAAGGAAGGAAGGUCGGUACCGCGCCUGCCCCGGCCCCGCCGGCCUGGCAGGAACCGGGAAACCGUGAACGGCCCGAAGGGCCCCGUGCGGGAGCGUGCGGCGGCGCCUCUGUGCCCGCUCGGGGCGGGGCGCGGGGCGCGGGGUGCCGCGCUGCACCGGCUGUGCACGCUCCCGCCUGCCCCGUACCGCGGCACGUGGAAGCGCUGCUUGCGUGUCCCUAAGAGAGCGCUGACGCGAUGCGCUAGUGCCUGCGAGAGCGGGUGCUUGCGUUGCAACGCCCGUUACAGCAAGCCUCCCGCAAGGUGUGGGUUCUAGAUGGCAACGCGCUGGUGCUGCAGCGCCCGGCGCUGAGGUCGCGCCGCUGUGCUGGCCCCGGUUCGCACUCGGCCAUCACGGCUCUGCAUAGCGUGCCUGCCGUGUCCUCGCCUCCGAGGUAAUGAAAAAUUGGGAUCUUGUUUCCCCGCACCAAUAUAUUUUUAAGAAAACAUUUCUACCCUUGUUCCCUAAUUAUGCAGUAUCUUUUCAAGUGAAAUAAAGAAAGGCCUACACAGAUGCGGUGGAUGGACCUGCUUCAGCUCCGAGGGAGAUCUAUAUUCAGAGCACUUCUGAGUAGGUAAUCUGGUAUUCUGUACAAGCAAAACUGCAAUAAACCGGUACAGCUUAUUCCAGCCUUUUCUUCUCCUCCCACAAAAGCAAAAUAAGCUAUACCAGCAAAAGCUCAGUGCUGUUUGUGAUUACAUCUACACCUGGGGCUUUCAUGAGCCCAGCAAUGAUAAUCAUAAAUCGUGCUUCAUUGCAUCCCUAACCAACAGCAGCGCUGGGAAAAGUUUGCAGGAUAGAGCAGAUCCGUGCCACAGAUAGGCAGCUCCGAGCACCGCCAUUAGCAGAAUCCUCAUGCCCUCAGAUCUUUUUUUGAUGUACAGCUUCAGUGAUGACUGAUUGACAAUCGACUAAGUACCUGCUGAGGGUUUGAGGACUAAACCCACUGAGAAUAUUUACAUUGAAUGCUACUAAUCAGGGUUAAUAGUUUUGAGAAUAGUCAGCAAAGUAAGUGUUGCAGAUCUGCCUGCCUCAAGGAGUUAUCAGGAGAAAGGCCUUUCAGAUUAUGUUCUCCUAGAGGAAUCGGGAACCUCAGCCAUUACGUUGCUAUUCUACCUGCUCUCUCUACAGUAAAAGACAAGAGCAAAGCUGAAAUGUUGGAGAAGACAGUAUAUCCUACAUCAGAUCUGAAGUUCUCCCUCAAAGGUUUGUUUAUGGAGGGGAAAACUAUGCCAAAGGGGGCUCAGUAUGAAUUUGCAUUGUGCUCACAUCUGCGGAGCCGAUCUCAGCAUGUCAGCACCCUUCUGGAGUCAAACCCCAAUCCAUGACGGAAGCAGGUCUAAACUGUCUGCAGCCACCAUCAGAUGUGCCCAGCAGAAAUCACUACAGCAGUUUAGGAGCUGCCAGGUUUUUUUGCCAGUGCCUCUCUGCAGAAACGAGAACAACUUCAACAGUGGGUAUUGCAAUGAAGUGGCUGUUGUACACUCAGCUGCCCUGACACACAGUUUGUGACCCUCAGUGGCAGGGCUGGCCGCCAGGAAGAGGCUUGUUCAGCUGUAGCCACCAGGUCACUUGGACUCGGCCAGUUUAGAUUGAGAGAAUCGCAGCCUGCUUAUCAUACUUUGUCUUCUACUGCUGGUGAUGAGUUCUGCAGCGCUGCUUUUACUUUAGCAGCUUACCACAAUAAUUUCAAUUAAAAAAACCCCAAACCCAAAACAUCAAGGAUAGGGGCAGGUGCUUUUAAAAAUAAAAGGAUGAAAAGAGCGGCAAAGCUGUUGACAAGAUUUUUCUGACCACUGACAACAUUUUUCUGAGCAAUAGUUUGACAACGAACGCUGCUGCGAUCUUUUUUUUUUUUUUGUUUGGUUUUGUUUUCCCCUGAUACAUUUCUCUGUAUUGUCUGUUUCUGUUCUGGGAUUGCCAAAAUUCCCACUGCAAAUUGUUGCCUAAGUCAUUCUAUUAGCAAGAUGUUACAGCUGCAAACAAUAAUUGGUUCCUUUAUGUUAUUAGUGUUCAUCUGCACUCUCACUUUAUCUGUUCACAGUUUUAAAAAACAGUCUUUAAGAUAUUUUUAGUAAUACUUGACUUUCAGAUAUCCCUAGCAGAGGACAAAGUCCGAGUUUCAUAAACAAGUACUAAUCAUAUUAAUUAUGUGGCCAUCUAUAAAAUUUUGGCACAAUAUUAAAGCACUUCCUGAGGAUACGUUUCAUAUUCAGAAUAUAAAGGUCAAUCUAUGUAUCUUACCUUUUGUACCGGUCCUGACAAGGUGGACAACUGUAAGUGACUUCUGAGCUUUAAACCUAUUAAGGACAAAGAAAGAAAACAUUUAAAUAGUUCGAAGUCCGUAAUCCAGUGUAAUCUCAGCCUUUCCACUACAUGUAUGUGUUCAGGAUUGCGCACAUGUUAUGUUACCUGUUAUGGAAAACCCAGUAACCCAAUCAAAGUGAAAUGAGAAAUAAUACUUAAUUUGCGCAGGUGUUUACAUUUCGAACCCUUAUGCUGGAGCUGCGUGAUCCAUGAUCUCAGACUUCGGCGUUGUGUAUGGAAAUAAAUGAGGUUGAUAAGUUCGUGA